UUAGUACUCCCUUCGUUCCGAAUUACUCGUCGCAGAAAUGGAUGUAUCUAGAUGUAUUUUAGUUCUAGAUACAUCCAUUUCUACGACAAGUAAUUUGGAACGGAGGGAGUACUAG
rnacentral:pre_miRNA from 1 species